rfam:Parcubacteria bacterium GW2011_GWC1_43_30 TV94_C0037, whole genome shotgun sequence.
UGCGGGAUCAUCUAAUUGGUAGGAUACAUGACUCUGAAUCAUGGCAUCUAGGUUCGACCCCUAGUCCCGCAG